rnacentral:rRNA from 1 species
GUCUACGGCCAUGCCACCCUGAACAUGCCCGAUCUCGUCUGAUCUUGGAAGCUAAACAAGGUCGGACUUGGUUAGUACUUGGAUGGGAGACCACCUAGGAAUACCAGGUGCUGUAGGUG